rnacentral:misc_RNA from 1 species
CGGUUCGAGUCCGCUUACCUCCACUGAUCAACUACCUGAUAACUCAGUAUGGAGAUUGUUAUUUGUUUAAUGUGAUUUAGAUGUUGUUCAACUGAAGGAACCUAGCUUCCUGUCACUCCUGAAUUCAUUUUAGGCUGAUAAGACGCUGGGCUCACUGAGUAUUCUUUGAAUAUUCAGUUUUUUCAGCA